rnacentral:lncRNA from 1 species
UAGAAACACCAUUAACAAAUCAUACCAACAAUGAGCAAUCACAAAUAUGAAAUUACAGAUUAAAAAAUUAAAAUAAAGUUACAAGUUCUAAAACUAUUACAAAGCAAGUAAUACAUGUCUAAUAUCUUCAUUGCAAACCCAACAAAACAUCAAUAAAUUUGAUACAAAUCAAAAAUAGCAAACCCAAAAAAAUUAACAACUCGACAACUUUAUUAUAAAUCUAGAAAUUACAUGCCCAAUUUCAACUCAAAUCCACAAAUCUCAACUCAUAGAUGAAGAGGAAGGAAGAACCAUAGGACUAGUUCUGAAAGCAAAAGAGACGAAGGAGAAGGUGCACACGAAAGCCACAAGGCCCACAACAACGAUGAAAGUAAGAAGAAGGCUAUCAAGCACGUGGCUAGAUUCCUUUUGCUUUGCAACUCACGAUGAAGAUGCGAUGGGCAAGAAUGAGAAUGAUGGCAAGAGGGAGACUGAAGGUGAGAAAGCGAUAGCGAGAGAGAGACUGAAGGUAAGGGUUUUUUCAGUUUAUGCUAUGAUUU